CUCUACUUUUCAUACUUCUCCUCUUCAGCUCCUCUCCACUUCUGCUGUUCGGUCUUACCUGCACCCACUCAUCCCUUCUUCAGCUCUUCUCCCUGCCCGCUUGUUUUUCUUACCUUCAUCCUCAUUUUUUCUUCUCCUCCUCUUCUGCUCUUCUUUCUUACCUGUGCCUGUUCUUCUCUGCUUUUGCUCUUGUCCUUCUUGGAGUCUGUCUUACCUUUAUUCUCUCUUCUCCGCAAGACGGGAAGUUUUUGGAGUGGGUCCAGAGGAGGGCCACUAAGAUGGUCAGAGGGCUGGAGCACCUCUCGUAUGAGGAAAGGUGGAGGGAACUGGGAUCGUUUAGCUUGGCGAAGAGAAGGCUCCAUGGAGACCUCCUGGUGGCCUUCCAGUACUUAAAGGGAGCAUCUAAGCAGGAGGGGGAAUGGCCCAAGGAGGCUGUGGAUGCUGCAUCCCUGGAGGCAUUCAAGGCCAGGCUGGAUUUGGCACGGGGCAUUUUGGUCUAGUGGC
rnacentral:lncRNA from 1 species